CAAGGAUCAGAUCGGCUCGAGAUAGCACCGGCUAACUCUGUGCCAGCAGCCGCGGUAAUACAGAGGGUGCAAGCGUUAAUCGGAAUUACUGGGCGUAAAGGGAGCGUAGGUGGCUCGAUAAGUCAGAUGUGAAAUCCCCGGGCUCAACCUGGGAACUGCAUCUGAUACUGUUGAGCUAGAGUAUGUGAGAGGAAGGUAGAAUUCCAGGUGUAGCGGUGAAAUGCGUAGAGAUCUGGAGGAAUACCGAUGGCGAAGGCAGCCUUCUGGCAUAAUACUGACACUGAGGCUCGAAAGCGUGGGUAGCAAACAGGAUUAGAUACCCUGGUAGUCCACGCCGUAAACGAUGUCUACUAGUCGUUGGGUCCCUUGAGGACUUAGUGACGCAGCUAACGCAAUAAGUAGACCGCCUGGGGAGUACGGCCGCAAGGUUAAAACUCAAAUGAAUUGACGGGGGCCCGCACAAGCGGUGGAGCAUGUGGUUUAAUUCGAUGCAACGCGAAGAACCUUACCUGGUCUUGACAUAUCUAGAAUCCUGCAGAGAUGCGGGAGUGCCUUCGGGAAUUAGAAUACAGGUGCUGCAUGGCUGUCGUCAGCUCGUGUCGUGAGAUGUUGGGUUAAGUCCCGCAACGAGCGCAACCCUUGUCCUUAGUUACCAGCGGGUUAAGCCGGGAACUCUAAGGAUACUGCCAGUGACAAACUGGAGGAAGGCGGGGACGACGUCAAGUCAUCAUGGCCCUUACGACCAGGGCUACACACGUGCUACAAUGGUAGGUACAGAGGGCAGCUACACAGCGAUGUGAUGCGAAUCUCAAAAAGCCUAUCGUAGUCCAGAUUGGAGUCUGNCACUCGACUCCAUGAAGUAGGAAUCGCUAGUAAUCGCGAAUCAGAAUGCCGCGGUGAAUACGUUCCCGGGCCUUGUACACACCGCCCGUCACACCAUGGGAGUUGAU
rnacentral:rRNA from 1 species